rnacentral:rRNA from 1 species
UACGUAGGCAGCGAGCGUUGUUCGGAGUUACUGGGCGUAAAGGGUGUGUAGGCGGUUGUUUAAGUUUGGUGUGAAAUCUCCCGGCUCAACUGGGAGGGUGCGCCGAAUACUGAAUGACUUGGAGUGCGGGAGAGGAAAGUGGAAUUCCUGGUGUAGCGGUGAAAUGCGUAGAUAUCGUUCGGAACGCCAAUGGUGAAAACAGGUUGCUGGGAGUGCGCUGACGCUGAGACACGAAAGCCAGGGGAGCGAACGGG